UACGUAGGGAGCAAGCGUUGUCCGGAAUCAUUGGGCGUAAAGCGCGCGUAGGCGGUCCUGUAAGUCCGUUGUGAAAGUCAAAGGCUCAACCUUUGAAAGCCGAUGGAUACUGCAGGGCUAGAGUCCGGAAGAGGCGAGUGGAAUUCCUGGUGUAGCGGUGGAAUGCGCAGAUAUCAGGAGGAACACCAAUAGCGAAGGCAGCUCGCUGGGACGGUACUGACGCUGAGGCGCGAAAGCGUGGGGAGCGAACAGG
rnacentral:rRNA from 1 species